GCACUGCCAUCGCGCCCUCCAUGUCGCAACGCGCCGCAGGAAGAUGGCGGAUUUACGACCGUGUCGUCAUAACAACGGGCCGCGCCGAGGAGAGCGAGAGAGAACGAUAGGAGGAAGACGACGGGGCGGGGCCAGGAAUCGGAGCUCAGGAGAGCCGCUACCAGGACAUCGCCCCAGCUGGGACCAGUAGUGUGGUGCUCGGUGCCCUCCGACCCCCUCGGGUGUCAGAAUCUCCUUUGAUGGUUGCCCGGAUCCCGGGAGAAGAACUCAAGCUGGGGAUGGCUCACGAGUAGCUUCACUAAGCCUUUUAUUCUUUUGUGUAUUUUUUAAGUUGUGAUAAAUACACAUAAAAGUUUACCUUAGUGACA